GCCCCCCCAACCCCCACCGUGAUGGCAGUCUAGCAGUGUGGUUCAUUGCAACAGCCGCUCUGAGACCCUAUGGAGGAGAGGAGGUGUCUUGGAAUGAACUCCAGAGCAGUUUGUGUAUGGUCAUUCCCAGAGCCCCUCUCACUCUGUGGUCGCUCUACAGGACCAUCCAGUGAAGCCAUUUGUUCUUGCAGCAGAUGCUGAUAGGUCCCACGGGAGCCAGUGCGGUUGUCUUACUGCUACCACAGGCGGGCGGUCAUGUUGCAGUGAGAUUUCUCCUGUUUUCACCCAUUUCACAUGUGCACG